ACACAACCACACAAGCGACAAACAGAACGCGAAAAAAACACUGCCAAGGUAAAACCAACCAAGUACUACCCGAGGGCCAUGAUUGAUGCUGAAGGCUGGGAGGCAUGAAAAUAGGCAAAUGUCUUAAAGAUAAUAAAGUAGGGGAUUUCUUAAUUUGAUACAGCAGUAAAUGUGAAAUAAGCUUUUUUAAAGCAAAUACUUGCCCUCAAUGAUAAAUGUGAAAAAAAAUCAACCUAAAGAUAAUGAGGAAACCAA